rnacentral:misc_RNA from 1 species
AUGAAUUGUUAGGACGCUCUUUUUAGAGGUCCGACCCCUUCAUUUCCUUACACUGUGCACACACUUCUUUUUUCACACAUUUUUAACACAUCAGUCUAAAGAAUGUAAAUAGUCUCUUAAUUGAGCAAUAAAUAAAUA